rnacentral:rRNA from 1 species
GAACGCGGACUGCAAUAAUAGCGUUGCUAUGUUGCUGACGAGUGGCAGGAACGGGUGAGUAAUGCUUGGGAAUAUGCCUUAUGGUGGGGGACAACAGUUGGAAACGACUGCUAAUACCGCAUAACAUCUCCGGAUCAAAGUGGGGGACCUUCGGGCCUCACGCCAUAAGAGUAGCCCAAGUGGGAUUAGCUAGUUGGUAAGGUAAUGGCUUACCAAGGCGACGAUCCCUAGUUGGUCUUAGAGGAUGACCAGCCACACUGGAACUGAGACACGGUCCAGACUCCUACGGGAGGCAGCAGUGGGGAAUAUUGCACAAUGGGCGCAAGCCUGAUGCAGCCAUGCCGCGUGUGUGAAGAAGGCUUUCGGGUUGUAAAGCACUUUCAGCGAGGAGGAAAGGUUGUACUUUAAUAGAGUGCAGCUGUGACGUUACUCGCAGAAGAAGCACCGGCUAACUCCGUGCCAGCAGCCGCGGUAAUACGGAGGGUGCGAGCGUUAAUCGGAAUUACUGGGCGUAAAGCGCGCGUAGGUGGUUAAUUAAGUCAGAUGUGAAAUCCCAGGGCUCAACCUUGGAACUGCAUUUGAAACUGGUUGACUAAGUUUUGUAGAGGGUGGUAAAAUUUCAGUGUACGGUG